UUCUCUAUCUAGUCACAAGUAAAUAAUUUAUUGCCUUUUCCCUGUUGUUUUGAAAUUCACUAUUUAAUUCACUCUUUUUUUUUUAAUAGAUGAAUUAAUUAUAACAUUUCAAAACUAAGUUGCACUUCUAGGUAAUUUUUAAGAAAAGCACCAUUAUCCCCUCUCCUGGAACUCAGAACAGCUUGAAUUUGACAGAUCAGAUUUGUGUGAAGCCAUAAAAGAGAAGAAUCCUCAUCCUCUCCUGCCUUCAGCUUCACCCCGUGUGGACAUUACAUUUAUUUGUGUGCUGUGUGUCCUGGGGCACACCAAAGGCUCCAGUUCUCCAGUAUUUUAUCCCUAA
rnacentral:lncRNA from 1 species